GCUAGGGCGGUUGCUACGGCGCCAUGUUGGGAAAGCGCGGCGACCCGGAAGCGCUUCCGGGGGCGGGGUUUCGCUUCCUGUGCGGCGGGGCCGGACCCGGCCGGGUUAGGAGGCAGGAAAUGGCGGCGGUGCUGCAGCAGCAGCUGCCGGGCCCUCCCGCUCCGCAGUGCCGGGCCCAGGCCGCCUAGAGCCGCCGCGCCAGCGCCGGGCCCGGGCCGCAGCUACGCCGGGCCGGACUCCGAGCACUUUACAUACAUGAGAGAGUUGGAAGCUAAAGCUACCAAAGAAGUCGAAAGAAAACUAAGCAGGGAUUUAGUGCAAGAAGAGGAAGAACAGUUGAUGGAAGAAAGGAAAAAGAGAAAAGAAGACAAGAAGAAGAAGGAAGCUGCUCAAAAAAAGGUAUGUUGAGGUUUUAAAAAAGAGUGCUUGUGGAUUUUGCUUUAUUAAUAGUAAAUAUUGUUUGCUCAGUUCUUUAACAACAGUGUUUUCUUUAUUUUUUUUAUGCUUUAUAUUUACUGUCAGUUAUAUAGUGGUAACUGACAUCCUGAACGUCUUAACUGGCUUUGUGUACAGAUUACUUUGUGUACAGAGACUAAAUAUUCUUCUGAGAUGACCUUUCAUUUUCCUGAGUCUGGUCUCAAGUUGAAGGCUUCCUCAGUGUCAGUUCUCCCUGUUUGUUGGCCUAAACAAAGGCAUUCCCUGUGCACCUAUGGAAAGUUAGGUAUGUCUAAUCUUACAGCAAAUCUAAGUUAAAUCAUAUAUAAAGGCUGCUUUUGGAAAAGGCGAGGUAUUUGCUCACAUUUCAAAAUGAGAGCUUCCCUGUUCUUUUCAGUAGCUGACAGCAAAACUGCAUAGUAAUUUUUGGAUCUCAGUUGUAGAAGUAUAACUCAUUUUCUUCUUGAA
rnacentral:lncRNA from 7 species